rnacentral:rRNA from 1 species
AGCGGAGGAAAAGAAAUCAACUGAGAUUGCCCCAGUACCGGCGAGGGAAGCGGCAAAAGCCCAGAUUGGAAAUCUUCGCCCCUCGGGCGACGAAUUGUAAUCUAGGAGGCCUUACUUACCUGUCUACUGCGCAGAAGUGUUCUAGAACGGACCGCCAAAGAGGGUGAUAGCCCCGUCUGUGGUGCUGGUAUCGACUAACGAGUAAUGUCUUAAAGAGUCGGGUUGCUUGGUACUGCAGCCCUAAGCGGGAGAUAAACUUCUCCUAAGGCUAAAUACAUGUAGGAAACCGAUAGCGAACAAGUACUGUGAAGGAAAGAUGAAAAGAACUUUGAAAAGAGAGUUAAAAGACCUGAAACCGUUGAGAAGGAAGCGGUAGGAGUGAAUUUUCGGCGGCCCGCGGUGGUCUCUGCCUAACCGUUUGGCGUUUCCGGCACUGUCAAAAGGCUGUGGCGUCAACCUGGGGAAGCGGGGACCUUGCAGACCGUCGUGAGGCAGAAUGGGGUGGCGCAGACACAAAGGCUUCCAGGGCGACGGUGCUUGCACCAGCCCUGGUUUGCCGGUGGCCGCGUGGCCUGAGGGGCUUCGUGCGAUUCUGCCAAAAAGGCUUUUACCGACUCGUCUUGAAACACGAACCAAGGAGUCUACCAGACAUGCGAGUGUGCUGGCGGAAAAACCAACACGCGGAAUGAAAGUAAUUGAUGCCAAGCGCAAGCAGCAGCAUCGACCGAUCUGAUUCUUUGAUAAAGAUUUGAGUAAGAGCAUAUCUGUUAGGACCCGAAAGAUGGUGAACUAUGCCUGAGUAGGGUGAAGUCAGGGGAAACUCUGAUGGAAGCUCGUAGCGAUACUGACGUGCAAAUCGUUCGUCGAACUUGGGUAUAGGGGCGAAAGACUAAUCGAACCAUCUAGUAGCUGGUUCCCUCCGAAGUUUCCCUCAGGAUAGCUAGGACAAUUAUGCAGUUUUAUCAGGUAAAGCGAAUGAUUAGAGGCCUCGGGGAUAAAUUAUCCUCGACCUAUUCUCAAACUUUAAAUUGGUAAGAACCUUGGCCUUUCUUAAGUGAGGCUCGAGGGCUCAAUGCGUGUCCUUAGUGGGCCAUUUUUGGUAAGCAGAACUGGCGAUGAGGGAUGCUCCUAACGUUGAGUUAAGGUGCCCAACUGCACGCUCAUCAGAUACCACAAAGGGUGUUGGUUCAUCUAGA